UACAUGGGGUGCAAACGUUGCUCGGAAUUAUUGGGCGUAAAGCGCACGUAGGCGGUUUGUUAAGUCGGAUGUGAAAUCCCUCGGCUCAACUGAGGAAGUGCAUCCGAAACUGGCAGGCUUGAGUACGAAAGAGGAUCGCGGAAUUCCCGGUGUAGAGGUGAAAUUCGUAGAUAUCGGGAGGAACACCGGUGGCGAAGGCGGCGAUCUGGGUCGAUACUGACGCUGAGGUGCGAAAGCGUGGGGAGCAAACAGG
rnacentral:rRNA from 1 species